ensembl:lncRNA
AUCCAAUGAAGCCCCAAAUCCAAGACAACUGGAUACACAUUAGUACACAUUUAAAAAUAGUUAUCACGUAAUUAAGAUCUAGUUAGAUUAAAAUUUUAUUUAUCUUUAGUUUCCUUGGUGUUUGUGUAAUAUGUUAUCUAAGGCCGAAGGUGAACGUUGUGCCAGAGAAACCAAGAGAUGUUGAAGAAGCGUGUAAAUGAAGAAAUUCCCGUUAACAGGGACUCUUGAAAGUCUUUGUAAAGUCAUUUACAAAGACUUUUAAGAUUGCAUUUAACACUUUAUUGAAUACCAUAUAGUCCUGGUAAAAAUGUCUUAUAUUAUAUUAUCAAAUUAUAUGUAAUAUUAGUACUCCAGAUUCUGCUGCUUUACACAAAACUGUCACCAGUGGGGGGAGACUGACCUACAUUCACUACGCCAUACCAGUAAUAUGCAGUACUGUGGUUCAUCAUUUGCCACUGAGGUUACUGGAAAGCCAUUCCAGCUGGGAUGAAUCUGAAACCUGUCAUUGGACCCUUUCCUUCACUCUAUAAAAAAGAGUAAUCUGUUGUUGCUUCCACAUACUUAGAAUCAUUUAGAAAUAUCCUCCUCAGCCAUUAUGUGCAUCAUCAGCUGAUAUCUGGAUACCAAAACAAGUGAUUGUUAUCACCAAGAAAGUCUGCAGAAUGUGACUGAAUGUCAACUUGCAAAUUAUUUUGUUUAUAUUUGAAAAGGUACCCAUAAGCCAUAGCUAACCACGAUAGUCAUGAGAGAAAUUAUACAGUCGUGCAUUGGAUGAGGACGUCACCUCUCUACUGUAGUCAUCACACGAUCCCUUGCUGUACCUCAUGCUUGUAAUGUUUGCUGCUUCUAUAUUUUUGGUAUUUUAGCGACAUUUUGAGUCUCAUAACAAUGGUGUAAAUAGUAGAACUAUUUAUUGAGAGUGUUAUACUUUUUUAAGUUAUAUUUAAUGUCCAUGUAAGUUAUUUUUUACGUUGUUCCUAUAAACCAACAUAUUAUAGGUUGCAAGUCAAAACUGUCAUUCUGUCUCUGUUGUCACAGUAUAUUGUGAUCAAUGCUGUCAAGCACUGAUAAGACAUAAACAGUACAAUUUAGACCAACAACCACAGAAAGAACUUCUCUCGUUGCUCAAUAUGUGUAGAUGGAUAUUGCUUGCAAACAGUGAUGAUUCACCAUAUUUAAAUGUUACUGAGUGCAGUGUAUUUUUUUAUAAUCAAAACUAGAAUGUAAACGUUUCAUUUUCUUUGUUUCUCAUUUUUUGUAAAACACACACAGAGGCAGACAAGCAAUACAUUCACACACACACAUGCAGUGAGUUUUAACCACAUAAUGGCUGAGUACAACUACAAAUAAUGUAACAAGUAACGUUUUGAGAAACCAUUGUAAUGCACAAGGAACAGGCAGCUGAGGACAGAAGAACGUUGGCAAAUGGCAAAGAAAGAGCUUGAAAAUUAAGGGGAAAAUUGGACUGGAGGUCAGUAGGCAGGUGAUGGUGAGCGUUCUUGGAUGGCAGAAAAGUAGAAGGUGGGUAGGGGCAGAGGUAGGAACGGGUGGACUGCUUUUCCUGGCCUGUCUUGCUAUUUGUCCAGGUGUGAAAAUGUGUACUCACAGAGGCUGCCCCUAAGCCAGAGGUGGCCAGCCUGACUGGCAACACGCCGAGGCCAGUGAGUCAGAGUUUCUCCCGGGGUUGGCAACCAUAUCUCUCUGGGACUCCUACCACCCCUCCCACCCCCUUGCUACCUCUACCUCCCCACACCUCGACACACUGCCUCAUCUGUCACUGUCAGGCAUGCCUGUUUAGGGCAAGCAGGGUCAAGCUUGCCCUGUGAAAAUUAGAGAGGAUGUUUGCCCAGCUUACAGAGUCUUUUGAAGCUAGGCUCAAUCAACAACAGUUCGCCUCACCUACAGCAUAUGCUUAUCACAUAAUAUGAUGUUUAUGGCAACGUUUUUUGCAAGGCUUUAGUAAUUCUCCACAUCUCCAUCAACAACUGUUUGUUUUUUGCUUUUCAUUUAACACCUGGCUUUUUAUGUUAUGUUAAAAAAAAUGUCGGAAACGUUGUGUCUAACUCAUUUAAAGUGCAGUGGAGAGUGCGAGAAAGUGUGUCUAAAUACCUAAUGUUUUUGCACAAAUCUUUGUGGAGAAAAAUACUGGUGUGCCAUCUCGUAAGAAAUUGUCUAUGCGUGUUGUAAGACAUGAAGUACCUCUCACAGGCCUCUUGUUAUAGAAUGGUCCCUUAUCUGUUUCCUAAACCUUCAGUAGAUCAAUUAAAAAAAAAAAAAAAAAGUUGGAUUGCCCUUUUUUUCUGAGUUGGACCUACAAAAAAAAGUGUAUUUGCAUAGUAUGUGGGUAUCUAGUGGUAUUACUGCAAUGUUUCGUACUCAGUUGCUCAACAAAUAUAUUUUAAGAUGUAAAUAGUAAUAUUAUAUGAUGAUUGUAUUUGCAAACCAUGUACUAACUGUUUGGGAGUAGGUCUCCGAUUGAUUUUUAUCAUAACUAUUAUACAAUGAAAUGAACCGUGAAAUGUUGUGCAUUGUGUCAAAGUAUCACCUGCAAGACAGAAAAAAAAAAAAAAACAAAAAAAAAACAAAAAGCAAAAAAAAAACCCCACAAAAAAGUGAUGCUUUACCACACCACUUGUCUGCAUUUAUUUGUUCCUAAUGGCUUAAUUCUAGUACUGUUGUCAGCUGUCUUAACCAUGAAUUGAAUUUAUCCAUUGUGUAAUAAAUUAUUUGUUUUUUAGAUGAAUAAUAUCAUAACAAUUUCUUAGCAGUCUGUUCAGAUUCAUCCUCAUAAUUAAACUUAACAUUAUUAUGUAUUGAAAAGUUCCUUUCACAUUUGUCUGAGUUGACUGACACUAACCAACAAAAAUUUCAUUUAUCUUCAUACUGUAUGUUACUGAGUCUUAUCCAUAUGCUUUUGUGUUUGCUGAGAAUUUCACCGACACUGUAAAGGUAGCCAUCAAACUCAGUGGGCCCUUGCUCCCUCAGAUGACCUCCUCUCACUUUUUUUCUUACACAGUAUGCACUUUUCAGGCACAUAUACAACAGACUGGACUUUUAUGUUUCAGCCGAUUGUUCUCUCUGUUGUCACAGUUGCAAUUAUAUAUUUUUUGGUGCUCUGGUACAUUGCAAAACAUGUCUGAUAUGUGCUAUAUUUUCAUAAAAGAGUCAUAAAGAUGAGUAUCAUGUUCAUUUUGCUGUCAUUUAUUGUGUAGAAAUAAAACACUGGUUAAAGUGAGCAUAAUGCUGGAUGUCUGUGGUCUGUUUUUUUUUUUUUUAAAGUUCCAAUAUUUUUUAAUCAUUGACAGACAACGCUGCAUAGACAAAAAGAUGUGGGUCCAGCCUUGUAAGUAGCUAGCAACUUCCUUUUGUCAGUGUGUAAGAAGCUUGAACAGAUUCAAGCUUCAGUAUAAAACCUUUCCAAAUGCUGUCCCCAAAUUUCAAGGAAUUUCAGGUCAUUCCUUGAAAUUAGAUUAGCUUGCUAGGUCUACGCUAUAGGUAACAUCAGCUGGAAGCAGCGGGCCCUCAUGGGGUUUAAAUCACACUCAACACUGCACUCCAUAAGGGUCCCCAGGCUAGACUCCAAUGCAACUUGAGCCUACUUUGGAACAUGACAGAGAGACAUA